AUUUCUGGAAAACCUGGGAAUUUUGCAAAUAUUGUUAACACUAAGUAAAAGCUACCAGAAGGGAAAGUUUCAAAACAAACUUUUUGUAAGGAAGUUAAAAAGUAGAAAGGUUUAGAGAAACUUUUCAGAGAAAGGUCAAGUUCCAGCAGCGGUUUGAGAUAGAAAGGUCAAGUUCCAUCAGAGGUUUGAGAUAGAAAGGUCAAGUUCCAUCAGAGGUUUGAGAUAGAAAGGUCAAGUUCCAUCAGAGGUUUGAGAUAGAAAGGUCAAGUUCCAUCAGAGGUUUGAGAUAGAAAGGUCAAGUUCCAUCAGAGGUUUGAGAUAGAAAGGUCAAGUUCCAUCAGAGGUUUGAGAUAGAAAGGUCAAGUUCCAUCAGAGGUUUGAGAUAGAAAGGUCAAGUUCCAUCAGAGGUUUGAGAUAGAAAGGUCAAGUUCCAUCAGAGGUUUGAGAUAGAAAGGUCAAGUUCCAUCAGAGGUUUGAGAUAGAAAGGUCAAGUUCCAUCAGAGGUUUGAGAUAGAAAGGUCAAGUUCCAUCAGAGGUUUGAGAUAGAAAGGUCAAGUUCCAUCAGAGGUUUGAGAUAGAAAGGUCAAGUUCCAUCAGAGGUUUGAGAUAGAAAGGUCAAGUUCCAUCAGAGGUUUGAGAUAGAAAGGUCAAGUUCCAUCAGAGGUUUGAGAUAGAAAGGUCAAGUUCCAUCAGAGGUUUGAGAUAGAAAGGUCAAGUUCCAUCAGAGGUUUGAGAUAGAAAGGUCAAGUUCCAUCAGAGGUUUGAGAUAGAAAGGUCAAGUUCCAUCAGAGGUUUGAGAUAGAAAGGUCAAGUUCCAUCAGAGGUUUGAGAUAGAAAGGUCAAGUUCCAUCAGAGGUUUGAGAUAGAAAGGUCAAGUUCCAUCAGAGGUUUGAGAUAGAAAGGUCAAGUUCCAUCAGAGGUUUGAGAUAGAAAGGUCAAGUUCCAUCAGAGGUUUGAGAUAGAAAGGUCAAGUUCCAUCAGAGGUUUGAGAUAGAAAGGUCAAGUUCCAUCAGAGGUUUGAGAUAGAAAGGUCAAGUUCCAUCAGAGGUUUGAGAUAGAAAGGUCAAGUUCCAUCAGCGGUUUGAGAUAGAAAGGUCAAGUUCCAUCAGAGGUUUGAGAUAGAAAGGUCAAGUUCCAUCAGAGGUUUGAGAUAGAAAAGUCAAGUUCCAUCAGAGGUUUGAGAUAGAAAAGUCAGGUUCCAUCGGAGGUUUGAGAUAGAAAAGUCAAGUUCCAUCAGCGGUUUGAGAUAGAAAAGUCAGGUUCCAUCGGAGGUUUGAGAUAGAAAAGUCAAGUUCCAUCGGAGGUUUGAGAAAUUCAAGGAAGUAGAAUUUCAGAAGAAACUUUAUGGCAUAAAAAAUAUGUCCCCCCCUUCUC